rnacentral:lncRNA from 1 species
GUUAGAUCGGUUUGCAAGAUCUGGAUGAACAAUUAUGGAACAAUAUAUCGAGACAGGAAAAAUCGCUUAAAACUUAGUUCGCUAGACUAUCCGCCUAGGUUUUACAUUCCCUAAAGUUCUAUGGCAGCCUCAAAGUAAUUUCCUACGAAAAUUCCAAGUCUGAUUUCAAAAAUUUCAAGUCGGAAAUACCUUAGUUCUCUCGAAGAUGCAGUUUUGUCCCUUCUCA